rnacentral:lncRNA from 1 species
CGAUCAUUUAUCAAAUUAAAAUAGUCGUGCCUUGGUUGUUCCUUCUCUGUCUUCCUGGACCCCAGGCAGCCUUGCUCCUGCUCCCCUGGCCUCCUGGGUACCUGGGCCUAGUGCUGGGCCCUGCCUCUUGAGGACCCUGGCCCCCCGCACUCCUCCCCAAGCCUCCCCAGGCCAGGGCAAGCCCACUAAUCGCCAAGAAGUGACAAACGCCAGAAGCCCCACCAAUUAAAUUUAAACUCAUGCAAAGCUCAGUGGCCAGUAAAUUAUUAUUUUUAUUAGCUUGAACCAAGUUCCCGUAAGAGAGAAAGUCAACUUGCUCCCAUGAAUGGCUCUUGUAUAAUUUAUUUAACUCUGUGCUCUUUGCCAAAGCUUGAAAUAUUUUUAGCUCGUUCUGUUGUUGGAUUUGGCUUUUUUAUGUGUGUUUCUGAGGGGUAUUUUUAGCCUCAUCCAUGUUAUUCUAACAACCUCCUAUGCGUUCUGUCCUGUCUGUGUGGCUGUUGAACCCUGUCUCGCGGGGAGAAGAGGGAGAUUUCUAAGAAUAACCAGGGAGUGUUUGGGGGUGCGCGUGUUUUCCAGGGGAGAUGUGCUAUCCACACAAUGCCGUUCCCUGCCUCGAUCGCUAAUUUGCCUAUUGCUCACGUGAUCUGGAUAUUCCUAUAGAAAAUCCGGUGUCUCCUUAAAGGAAUAACCAGACACGGUGGCAGCACAAGCCCCACAGGGAAAAAACCCACAUUCCAAAAACGGCUUUGGUGGGGCGGGUGCGGCUACAGCCGGCCCAGUCCCUGAAAGAGCGAGCAAGCGGCUGCCAGAUUCCCGGAUUCCCGCAGCUCGGCUGGGCACGGCGGCGGCAGCUUUGAUGUCUAGCUCUGUCACUUCGGCAGCAGGAUGGGUAGAGUCUUCGGAAAGUAACUCUUUUCACACCUACUUAAUGUUGGUAACUGCUGCAGAGACACUCCAUCCUGUCAUAGAGUUAAUGAGAUCGGCUGAGUACUUUCAGGAGGAAGGAAGUUUGCAAUUCCCUGCCAGAGGGGUUUGGGUCCCACAACAACCCCAGUGCAAGGCACCUAGCUACCCAGGCAGGGACAAUUCAGACCCCAAAGACAAGGGAAGGGGUGGGGAAGGGACUCUGAGGUUAUUCAAACCAAGCCAUGAAAUAGCCCCUCGGUGGAGCCCCUGCCCUGAGGGGGGCAUUCAGAGGACAGGACAAGAGCUGACCCAGCAGAAGGGGGAGGGGCCGGACGGCGCGACUCAGGCUUCUCCGCGGCCGCCCCUCCUGAUUAAGGCUCCUCUCCAACAGGCAAGAUCCCCAAUCGCUCCAGGCAGUAACGCUGAUGAGAAAUCUUGAGCUGGUUCUAGUUGAUUUUCCCUUUUUUUUUUUUGCCCCCCCCAAUUUCACAGCUUUGCCUCCAGACCAUCUGUAUUAGAGACAAAAUCUAACACUGCACUAAAAAUAAUAGUUCCAAACAUUUUAAUUGCACCUCUUGGUGACAAGGUUACUGGAACAACACUUUACCCUAAAACCCUACAGCCGAACAUAAAGCACUUUCAUUUCUGGAAAAACAAUGGGAGAAGAAGCCUGGAGUCCCCCGUGGCCCCUUGGGGCCUCACCCUCCUCUCCUGCAGGCUAAUGCUGUGCAACUGCUGGGUGGUAACAGAGAAGGCAGCUGGCAGGGAGACCCUCGGCCCUGCCUGGGUAGUGGCGCCAGACCCAGCGGGCAGGUACAGUGGCUAGGAGAGGCAGCUCCUGGGAUGCCAGUACAGCCUGGAGGCUGGGUCCUUCACCCCAGCGGGACCCCAACAUGGGCAAGAAACUGGGGCAAUUGUCUUAGAAAGGCUGGCUGGGCUGCGGUGACGAUGGCCUGCAACCGAAUGCAUCCACGGAAAGGGGAAGAAAGUCCAAACUGGCCAUUCGGAAAUCCACUCGUGAGACACAAAAAUUGUUUAGCUUCAUUACACGUAUUUCUGUCUAAACUACAUCCUAUAUAGACACAGGCUAAGGGAAAGGGAUCCAGGGUGUAACUCCUUUUAAAAAAUACAUGUAGUAAAAUCUUAAAGACUAAUAUGAUAUCCUGGCUCUCAGCAGUUGCAAAAGGCUUCCAGCUGCAACCGCCUCCCCUGCAGGCCUCGGAAGGUUUCCCAUCACAGAAGGAUGGGACAUCUCCAAGCACAAUAGGUCUCUCCAGUCCCCAGGGGGGUGGAAACUGGGCCUCCAGAAGUAGGGAACAAGUGGCUCCAGGGGGGGGGCCUCCAGUGCCCUCUAGAGCCCUCAGUGCAGGGGGAGGUAGUGGGGAGGGUCUGG